rnacentral:rRNA from 1 species
GAUGAACGCUGACAGAAUGCUUAACACAUGCAAGUCCACUUGAACUUCGGUUUGGGUGGCGGACGGGUGAGUAACGCGUAAAGAACUUGCCUCACAGCUAGGGACAACAUUUGGAAACGAAUGCUAAUACCUGAUAUUAUGAUUUUAGGGCAUCCUAGAAUUAUGAAAGCUAUAUGCGCUGUGAGAGAGCUUUGCGUCCCAUUAGCUAGUUGGAGAGGUAACGGCUCACCAAGGCGAUGAUGGGUAGCCGGCCUGAGAGGGUGAACGGCCACAAGGGGACUGAGACACGGCCCUUACUCCUACGGGAGGCAGCAGUGGAGAAUAUUGGACAAUGGACCAAGAGUCUGAUCCAGCAAUUCUGUGUGCACGAUGAAGUUUUUCGGAAUGUAAAGUGCUUUCAGUUGGGAAGAAAAAAAUGACGGUACCAACAGAAGAAGUGACGGCUAAAUACGUG